UAAAUGAUGAUGAACACGAUAGGUUACUUGAUCAUGAUCAGUUAACUCCAAAUAGAGGAAUAAAUGAAGAUGGUAACCCUUCAUCUAUACCAUCAUUAUCUAAAACAGAUGAACAAUCCAUACUGAGUAGGAUUUUACAUAAAACAG
rnacentral:lncRNA from 1 species